rnacentral:lncRNA from 1 species
ACGUUUAGCGAACUGCUUGGAUUCUUUGCACGGGGUGAGUCCGGAGAUGUCAGCAACGGCGGGGAGUGGGGCGGAUAAGAGGAUGGAAGAGAGAGCAAGCGCAGCCGAGAAAGCUUGGAGUGGUGAUUUAGAGGAGUCUUUCUCUGGGGUUUGAGCAGCAGAGCAUACAACUGUGGCUCUUGAUGAAGAAGAUAACUUUGAUGGAUUCAAUGGAGAGCCAAGCUUUGGCUUCAACAUAGGUUUUGAGAGAUUGGCAGGUAUUGUAAGAGACAUUUUUCCUCUAAUUGAUUUCUUGGUUUUCUUACAGUAAAGAAAAAAGAGAAAGAGAUAUUGGAAGAG